ensembl:lncRNA
CUGGAUACCGUCAUUGGACUAGUGAGUGUAGGAACUCUUGUAUGUCUUGUAGGAACUCUUCUAUGUCUUGUAGGAACUCUUGUAUGUCUUGUAGGAACUCUUGUAUGUCUUGUAGGAACUCUUGUAGGAACUCUUGUAUGUCUUGUAGGAACUCUUGUAUGUCUUGUAGGAACUCUUGUAGGAACUCUUGUAUGUCUUGUAGGAACUCUUGUAUGUCUUGUAGGAACUCUUUUAGGAACUCUUGUAUGUCUUGUAUGAACUCUUAUAGAACUCUUGUAUGUCUUGUAGGAACUCUUUUAGGAACUCUUGUAUGUCUUGUGUGAACUCUUGUAGGAACUCUUGUAUGUCUUGUAGGAACUCUUUUAGGAACUCUUGUAUGUCUUGUAUGAACUCUUAUAGAACUCUUGUAUGUCUUGUAGGAACUCUUUUAGGAACUCUUGUAUGUCUUGUGUGAACUCUUGUAGGAACUCUUGUAUGUCUUGUAGGAACUCUUGUAGGAACUCUUUUAGGAACUCUUGUAUGUCUUGUGUGAACUCUUGUAGGAACUCUUGUAUGUCUUGUAGGAACUCUUGUAGGAACUCUUGUAUGUCUUGUGUGAACCCUUGUAGGAACUCUUGUAGGAACUCUUGUAAGUCUUGUGUGAACCCUUGUAGGAACUCUUGUAGGAACUCUUGUAUGUCUUGUAGGAACUCUUUUAGGAACUCUUGUAUGUCUUGUAUGAACUCUUGUAUGUCUUGUGUGAACUCUUGUAGGAACUCUUGUACGUCUUGUGUGAACUCUUUUAGGAACUCUUGUAUGUCUUGUAUGAACUCUUGUAUGUCUUGUGUGAACUCUUGUAGGAACUCUUGUAUGUCUUGCAUGAACUCUUGUAGAACUCUUGUAUGUUUUGUAUGAACUCUUGUAAGUCUUGUGUGAACUCUUGUAUGAACUCUUGUAUGAACUCUUGUAUGAACUCUUGUAAGUCUUGUAUGAACUCUUGUAAGAACUCUUGUAGGAACUCUUGUAGGAACUCUUGUGUGAACCCUUGUAGGAACUCUUGUAGGAACUCUUGUAAGUCUUGUGUGAACUCUUGUAGGAACUCUUGUAGGAACUCUUGUAUUCUUGUGUCUUGUAUGAUGAGUAGGGAAAGACUGUUCUAUCAGAAUUCUGGGCAAUUCACCUUCUAGCCUAUUUAAUAAGCGAUUUAUAAUUGUUGCCUGUAUUCAUUUUGAUCGUUGCCUUUUAAAUCAAUCGGGAUCUCUGGUCCGAUCCUGAGCUCGGGUUUCUGUCUGUGUGGGUUUCCUCAGGAUUCUCUGGUUUCCUCCCACCUCCCAAAAACACAUGCCAUUAGGUGCUCUGGCGAUUCUAAAUUGCCCCAUGUGUCAAUGAAAGGGUUUAUUCCCCUGGAUGGGACCCCAGUGUUCCCGGGGAUAGGCUCCGGAUCCACCACGACCCUGACCGUGAAUGAAUGAAUGAAUG